rnacentral:rRNA from 1 species
GAGUUUGAUCAUGGCUCAGAUUGAACGCUGGCGGCAUGCCUUACACAUGCAAGUCGAACGGUAACAGGUCUUCGGAUGCUGACGAGUGGCGAACGGGUGAGUAAUACAUCGGAACGUGCCCGAUCGUGGGGGGAUAACGAAGCGAAAGCUUUGCUAAUACCGCAUACGAUCUACGGAUGAAAGCAGGGGACCGCAAGGCCUUGCGCGAACGGAGCGGCCGAUGGCAGAUUAGGUAGUUGGUGGGAGUAAAAGACUUACCAAGCCGACGAUCUGUAGCUGGUCUGAGAGGACGACCAGCCACACUGGGACUGAGACACGGCCCAGACUCCUACGGGAGGCAGCAGUGGGGAA